UGUGUGCCGUAUAUGAAAUCGCUAUGGAUGCGAAAACGUUAAAACAUUGAUAGCGCAACCAGCAAUUUUGCGUGAGUUGCUUGCUGGCACUGCCUAAAUUUUAAUGCGGCUUUCAUAUCGUCUGGCGCAGUGUGCGUUAUGAUUAACGAGCCAAACUCCGAUGGAGUAUUAUUUCGCAAUUGUUGUAGCCUAAAAUUACCCGCAUGCGCCUCCUGCCGUGUACCCAACUGGACACGCGCCUUCCAGUCAUCCCAGUCUCCUUUUCGUCAAAGCAACCGUGGAUUGCAGUUAAAGGGCGCUCAUUUCCAAGAUCCACACAUGCGGACAUCCCGACAGUGGGAGAUCGAAAAAAUCAAUGGCCCAGCCCCGCUUGCGAGCACGUUGGCGUUGUGGACGCUGCCAGACAGUCGUUUUCCUGCACAAAACACAUACAGCCGCACACACUCCCCGGGAUGUGUACGGGCCAGGGCAGCUUCCGGUGACGUCAAGGAUACAUCAUAUACACUUCCCAACAGCAGCGCCCAGACUGCGCUCUCCUUAGCUCGCCCUUCUGCGGUGUACAGUGAACCGGGAUUUACUGUUCACUGGACAGGAAUAAUUCACGAUAAUACCACCACAUCGGAAGCCAUCUGCCGAUGAUUUUCUUUAAUCUUCCUCUGUACACUCCCGACCACAACAAGGAACAGAUUUGCAAUGCAACAGCGAAAAGGGAGAAUUUGGACAAAAUCUCGGUCACACUUGACUGUUUACGUUAGGAGAAAUUGGCAAAAACGGCAACUGGCCAUAACAGAGUCAACACCACUGACACGACCGGCCAGAUCCGGCUAAAAAUACGCAUUUCACAAAUGCAGCGUGAAACAUGCUGGAAAACUUGUCAAGAAAACAAGAUUAAUCCCUUCGAUUCACUGCGGACCGAUCGCCCAACAGCGCCAACUGGUCCAACAGACCGAAUCGCAAAUUACCGCGCAACCUGUAGUCUACCGCUGGCUGGUAGCGCAAAACGCCCAUCCACCACAGGGAAAGGAUAAACAACAACAAUUCAACGUCUCCCUCACCUGAUAAAGCCUUGAUACGGAUCCGUUCGAAGACUUUGGCCGAGCUAAGUCCCCCGUCAUAAUCCUCACCGUCCGCGCCACCACUGACACUACUGGUUACAACGGUGUGUGUGGUGGUUAUCUGGGUGACGCCAUCACCAGCCCAGUGGCUGGGAUUGACGAGAUCCGUGGUCAUCCUCGCACCAUGCAGGGAAAUACACGAUUAACGAUUAUCCACAAAUUAACAAUCCGGUACAACAAAUCCCCGAGAAAAAUGCGCCUGCUAUCACCGUGGAGUGUGGCGUGAGUGUGGAAUGGUGGUCUGUGUCUGCCUGAAUGGAAAGAGAGAGUGCAUUAGCUUGAAAAACAUUCGCCAGGCCAGUGCGUGCGUAGCCCCAGCCGCUGUCAGACAGACUGCGCAAGAGACACAGAGAAAGAGCAAAAGGCGGAGUCAGCGCUGCAGACAGGAUUACCGAAUCGCCAAUCAAAAUUAGGAUGUCGCUCCAAUGUAACCAAUGGAAAACCGCCGGCCAGUAAAUUACGCCCAGUCCAUUUGGGUAAGGUCUGUCAUAUCAAAGGGAUCGGCAAAUACAAUGGAAGCGGGGCAGUGUGGCUGUAAUAAUAAAUCGCCUGGGUAUGAUUAUCCGCGCAUAGUCGUGUGGUGGUCAAAAUUUAGAAUAUGGCCGGAUGAUGGCGCAUCAGCAGUAAGCAACAUUUGCAGACAGAUACGGACACCGCAGCCGCUGCUAUCGAUUGAGGCGGUUGCGUGCUAAAACUAGGCACACACACUACACUCACUGGCAGAAGUGGAAUUUUUGAAUGCAGACGCGAAUGGAGGAGCUGCAUCCGCCUUGGGUAAUGCAAUACACACUCUGGCACAACCAGCAGCAGCAGCCGGCCUGUUUAUACGGCUGAGAAAACUGCUCGACCGGUUCACAGAGAGUAGGACAGUGCGAAUAACUUCCCGUCGAGCGUCAUCAAUGAACAGCGCGGCAACCAUUACACUUUCAUGAUUUUCAUCAAUCGUGGGCUAUGGAGUACGUAUCUGUACAGUGCACGUUUAGCUGUUUCGCUAGCAAAUCUUUUGGCUUAUUUUGGCACUGUGGUGUAGAUCGUCGCGGUCAGAUAAGCCGGGCGGUGGGUGCGCUUAGGAAGCACAGCUGUGCCGUUCUGCGAGGCUGUGCGAGCGGAGGGUAAAGUACGGCCGUGUAUUGUACCGGUGUACGGACGGCUAAAUGCGUAAUUUGAUCCAGUUGUUAUUUUUCAAGACACUGAUUCUAUCGCAGUUGUAGUGGUGCAGAUGAAUUAAAAAUACGCUGCUGUGUUGCAG